GUCUCCGUGGAGACCCGCCCGAAGGGAAAGUUCCGAAACGCUCAAGACAGGGCAGACCGGUCCCCUACGGCCCAGCAUUCGAUAUGAAUGACCAAGGACCAUCGUCCUUCGGGAAAGGGAAGCCUGCGAGCUUGUAUGAACAACGCAGUCUCAUGGUGGACUCCGGCUCAGAAAUUUUGCCCACUAGAACCCAAGUCUAGGACGUCAAGAAUGAGAGCCUUCCGAUCCGCCAGUCCCGCAACCUCAGUCUUCCGGGGAGAGCCACAGAACCCGCAGAUCCUGUACCGUGGCCAAAACCACUCGGGCCUGGACUCUGCCAGCUCAGCCCGCGCAGCUCAGAGACCUAGACGCAGAAGCCACAACUCCGGGUUGGUUCUCCGAAGCCCGCGGCUUAGCGUUCGGCCAGAGAUCCAGUGUCCUGCGGCGACUUUGAAAACGUAUGGUCGGAAGAACCUUCCAGACCCUGUCUAAAGGACUGGAUCUCUUUUCUAGAGAUCAGGGUCAAACUCCAAAGACCUCCACACAACCGUCAUGUAGCUCGUGCUAAGACAAACAAACCAGACAAACGAAGAAAAUAUAAUUUCAUCCUACAAGUUGCAGAAUCAGCCUCGGGGAGGCCUUCCUGUGAAAGACAGCAUUAAUUAGGAAGGGUCCCUGACACAUAAUGCAUCAGAAACUUCCAAAUUUACGAUAUAUCGAAGCUUGUAUUUUGGGAAUUUUUUUUACCCGAAGAUGA
rnacentral:lncRNA from 1 species